UGAGGAACAUGACCUUCGGCGGGGGAUAGCCGGCCCAACGGCCGGGUAAUACCGCGUACGACCACUUUGGGACAUCCCUGGGUGGUGAAAGCAGCAAUGCGCCGAUGGAGUGCCUCGCGGCCUAUCAGCUAGUUGGUGAGGUAACGGCUCACCAAGGCGACGACGGGUAGCUGGUCUGAGAGGAUGGCCAGCCACAUUGGGACUGAGACACGGCCCAGACUCCUACGGGAGCA
rnacentral:rRNA from 1 species